AGAGUGGGUUGGGCGGUCGCUCUGCCUCGUCUCGUGCGGGGCAGGGAGGAAAGUCCGAGCAGGGUAAGGGGCCCUCAAUGCGGUCAAUCGCGUUGGGGAACCCGGGGCACGGUGGUGGCUAACGGCCACCGAGGGCUGGUUCUCAUUUUGCCCUUUGCGGCAAAAUGGGGCCUGGUACCUUAGGGAAAGUGCCACAGAAAACACACGGCCGAUGGCCCCUCGAGGCACAGGCAAAGGUGAAAAGGUGCGGUAAGAGCGCACCGCGACGGCGGUGACGUCGUCGGCAGGGCAAACCCCACCGCCUGCAAGACCAAGCAGCCGGUCGGCGUCAGUCGUACUUGGCCCGAGUACGGGCGAUUCGUCGAAUCGCCCGGCCGGCGGGUAGGUUGCGUCCCGUGUACGCGGGAGAGCCGGUCGGCAACGGCCGGUCCAGAUAAAUGAUCGCCACCCGCCUUCGCGGCGGGCACAGAACUCGGCUUACAGACCCACUCUUGGA
rnacentral:RNase_P_RNA from 1 species